rnacentral:rRNA from 1 species
UGCCAGACUCCUACGGGAGGCAGCAGUGGGGAAUAUUGCACAAUGGGCGAAAGCCUGAUGCAGCGACGCCGCGUGAGUGAAGAAGUAUUUCGGUAUGUAAAGCUCUAUCAGCAGGGACGAAAAUGACGGUACCUGACCAAGAAGCCCCGGCUAACUACGUGCCAGCAGCCGCGGUAAUACGUAGGGGGCAAGCGUUAUCCGGAUUUACUGGGUGUAAAGGGAGCGUAGACGGUUGCGCAAGUCUGGAGUGAAAGGCGGGGGCCCAACCCCCGGACUGCUCUGGAAACUGUGUAACUGGAGUGCAGGAGAGGUAAGUGGAAUUCCUAGUGUAGCGGUGAAAUGCGUAGAUAUUAGGAGGAACACCAGUGGCGAAAGCGGCUUACUGGACUGUAACUGACGUUGAGGCUCGAAGGCGUGGGGAGCAAACAGGAUUAGAUACCCCAGUA